rnacentral:lncRNA from 1 species
UCAGGACAUAGCAGUUUCAAGGAAGAAAAAUACAGUAAAAGCAGUAGCAGGACUUGAAAAAUAGGCUACAGUACAAGUAAUAAAGAGAAUAGUUUCUGAGUGUGAGUGAGAGUUUAGAAAACUAAGAUUGUGCGUGUGUAGAAAACUAAGAGACUUCGUGUGUUUUGUCAAUGAAAGAGUAAGGUAUUUAUAGUGUCAAAAAUAGGCAGAAAUAAGGUAAGAAACAAUUAAGAAACCGGGUAUCAAUUAAAAUCAAUCAGUACAAGAUUUCUUUAAUUAAGAAAUUCAGACUUAAGCGGUAAAAGUUAUUUAAGGAAAGAAAUCAAACAAGCAUCUUGUACAAAGUACGCAAUUAAAGGUAAAUACAUAAGAGUUUUUUCAGGGGAAGAGUUUUGAAAUACACAGUUAAAAUAAAAUAAGGUAAGAAUCAACUAGUACACAGUAAGUCAAGUAGUUAGAGGUUUGUAAUUAUUGGUCCAUGAAUGAACCAAGUCAGAAAAGCUAAGGAAGAUUUUCGACUCAAACAAGUAAUAGGGAAAUCAACAAACAAGGAAAGAAAUCAAUUAGGCUUUCAUGAAGGAAGUAUAAAAUCAUUCAAAAUUUGAAAGCCAUUUUAGAGGGAAGUUCAGCACAUAUAAAAAUCACACAAGCAUGCUAGGCUGAAUUUAGGACAAAGAAAAAGGUAUCAUGCAAUUGCAAAAAACAAUAAGUAGUAGACUAUAUGAACAUGGUAAUUCAGUAAUGGAGAAGAGAGAGUAUCAAAUAGCAUAUAAAGGGUCCAUUAUAAAGACCUUAGAAGUGUUUAGUAGGGAAUCAGAAUCAUUUAAAGAAACAGAGGUUGAAACAAAGAUUUUGAAACUUAGUUGAGCAAUAGAUGAAACCACUUCAGAAACUCGAUAUAGGUCCAAUGAAGUUAGGGUUUUGAAAUCAAACGAG